CGCUUUGUAUUUAUUACAAAGAGGAAAGUCCGGGCAACAUAGAGUAUCCGACCUAGUGAAAGCUAGGGUGCUUUAAAAGGAAUUUUAGAGUAACAGCUAGUGCAACAGAAAUAGACUACCGUACUUGUACGGAAAAGAUGAAAAGGUGAGGUAAGAGCUCACCAGCUACAUCAGUAAUUUUGUAGGCUAGGUAAACCUUCGGAGUUGAAAAAUCAAAUAAACCAAGAACUGAGGGUUUCUCGCCCAAUCUUGGAGGGUAGAUUGUUAGAGAGUGGGGGCAACCCCAUUACUAGAUAAAUGAUAGAACACGACAGAAUCUGGCUUAUAGAUUUGC
rnacentral:RNase_P_RNA from 1 species